ACCUCCAAUUUAAAAUGCAUUAUUUGGUAAUAGAUGGGAAAUGUGUGUACGUGAAUAUGAAUCAGUAGAUUAAAUGUUCACACACUGCACUGAGACGCUCUCGGUGCUGCAUGGAGCUGCAGACUUGUGCAUUUAGGUUGGUGCUCUUCCUGCUCGUCCACUUCUUUAUCAUUCAGAGUUUCGUAUCCCCUGAUGGAUGUCUUCCUCCUCGAAUGCUCUUCUUCUCUGCUCUGCUGUCUGCAGUUUUCUGGAUGGCUUUGUCUGAAGCCUCCAACCGGCUGAUAUUUGCAUGCUCUUCUUCUGCGGCUUUAAUAAAGGAGCCUGCAGGAAGUGGAUCUGUGUUAGUGGAGACUUGACGUCAUGCAGCAUGCUCUGAUUCUCCUUAUGCAAUGGGAAUAUUUCCACAUGUGACACAUUGGAAAUCAGCAUCAUGAAUAGUUUACUAAUAACUAGAUCUCAAUGGGCCUCAUUCACCAAUAUGUUCCUAAGGUUGUUCCUAGAAAUCGAGUGUAGAUCAGAUUCAUGAAGGGCUCUAAUAGCUCUAACUUGUACACUUUAAAAUGUCUAGAAUGACUGGAAAUAUGUUAUAUAUGUAUUUAUUACACAGCUUAGUUUGGACAUUUUCUGUCUGGAUCUUAAGUUAUCAUAGAAGCGUUAGACGUUAGCGGUUAGCUCGUAGCUCCUGAAUCUUGUGUUUUUAUUAUUCCAGUCAAAUAUGGCCUCGUCAUGCUGGCUCUCGCCUGCUUUUCUCCCAUUCUUUGAACUGGACCAUAAUGCUUUAUAGUUUAUACAAUAACAAUACUCAUUAUAAACAAAUGUUAUAGACAUUUUAACUAAAGGAAAAUGCGAAAACUGAUGAAACUGAGCAAUAAUUUUGGAACUCAAAUAUGUGAAAAUUCUGUUCUUACCAAAAAAAAACAAAUUGAAAAUCUUCAUAAGAAGAAAUUACUUUUUCAAGAACGCUUGGUGAAUGAGGCCAGAUUUUACUAACUGCAUAUUUCUUUAAAUAGUCUUUACUUUUCGUAGCCAAGCAUUUGGAUAUGCUUGCAGUAGCCGGCUCUUUUGAUUCCUUACACCUCUCUUUUGUACAUAAUUGAUUUCCUAUUUCUUUUAUAACUGUUGCUUAUUUUCUUGCCUGAACUCUCUUUGUCUCUCCACAGCCCGGACGAGGACUCGUGUCAGAAAUUCAUCCCUUUUAUCGGAAUGGUGAAAGUCGGCCUCGUGGAGCAAACAUCUGCAGCAUCAGGAGACUCUGAUGA